CGACCCUGUGCGGGAGAGUCCUCCGAGUGAGUACGACGGAGGCGCCGAAGGAGCAAAUCCUCCCCGGAAUCUCUCAGGCAUACGUACCGCACGGACGAG
rfam:Streptomyces sp. MBRL 10 scaffold00106, whole genome shotgun sequence.